rnacentral:rRNA from 1 species
GAUGAACGCUGGCGGCGUGCCUAAUACAUGCAAGUCGAGCGAACAGAUGAGGAGCUUGCUCCUCUGACGUUAGCGGCGGACGGGUGAGUAACACGUGGAUAACCUACCUAUAAGACUGGGAUAACUUCGGGAAACCGGAGCUAAUACCGGAUAAUAUAUUGAACCGCAUGGUUCAAUAGUGAAAGACGGUUUUGCUGUCACUUAUAGAUGGAUCCGCGCCGCAUUAGCUAGUUGGUAAGGUAACGGCUUACCAAGGCAACGAUGCGCAGCCGACCUGAGAGGGUGAUCGGCCACACUGGAACUGAGACACGGUCCAGACUCCUACGGGAGGCAGCAGUAGGGAAUCUUCCGCAAUGGGCGAAAGCCUGACGGAGCAACGCCGCGUGAGUGAUGAAGGUCUUCGGAUCGUAAAACUCUGUUAUUAGGGAAGAACAAAUGUGUAAGUAACUAUGCACGUCUUGACGGUACCUAAUCAGAAAGCCACGGCUAACUACGUG